rnacentral:rRNA from 1 species
AUUGAACGCUGGCGGCAGGCCUAACACAUGCAAGUCGAGCGAGAAAGCACUUCGGUGUGAGUAGAGCGGCGGACGGGUGAGUAACGCGUAGGAAUCUACCUGGUAGUGGGGGACAACUCGGGGAAACUCGAGCUAAUACCGCAUACGCCCUUCGGGGGAAAGCGGGGGAUCUUCGGACCUCGCGCUAUUGGAUGAGCCUGCGUCGGAUUAGCUUGUUGGUGGGGUAAAGGCCCACCAAGGCGACGAUCCGUAGCUGGUCUGAGAGGAUGAUCAGCCACACUGGGACUGAGACACGGCCCAGACUCCUACGGGAGGCAGCAGUGGGGAAUAUUGGACAAUGGGCGCAAGCCUGAUCCAGCAAUGCCGCGUGUGUGAAGAAGGCCUGCGGGUUGUAAAGCACUUUCAGCGGGGAAGAUGAUGACGGUACCCGCAGAAGAAGCCCCGGCUAACUCCGUG